GAGUCUCCAUCCUAAGAGACAGCCCAUGAACCCUCCCCCGCCUCCAGCCAUCAUUCAUUUCUUCUGCUUCUCUCUAGAGCAAAAUUUUGUAACCCCCUCAUCUCCGUAUCACUGGCCCACCCGCCCCGUCUGGGUGUUUGUUCUCACUUUUCCAGUGUUCUUGUCAAGGUCACCAAAUGACCUCCACGUUGCUAAAUCCACUGCACGUUUUUGUCCUUAUCUGACCCAGACUCUCAGCAUCAUUCAACACGGUUGAUCGUACCCCCCUUUUUGAAAAGCGUCCAUCAGAGUCCCCAUCGUGGCGCAGUGGUUAACGAAUCCAACUAGGAAUCAUGAGGUUGCGGGUUCGAUCCCUGGCCUUGCUCAGUGCGUUAAGGAUCCGGCGUUGCCAUGAGCUGUGGGUGGGUCGUAGACAUGGCUCGGAUCCUGUGUUGCUGUGGCUCUGGUAGAGGCCAGCGGCUACAGUUUCAAUUGGACGCCUAGCCUGGGAACCUCCAUAUGCUGUGGGUGCAGCCCUAGAAAAAAAAACAAAAAGAGAAAAGAAAAGCAUCCAUCGCUCGGCUUCUCUGCGCCCUCACUUCUGGUCACCCUCCACCCAGGACCAGUCCUUGGCUGGCCUCUGCUCCUCUACCCAAUUUCUGGAUGUUGGAGGGCCUCGGAGAGUGGUCCUGGCCUUCACCUUCCCUUCCCAUUAAUUGUAUCUUCCUAGGGGUCUCAUCCUGACCCCACUACUCCCAGCUCUACCCCUGACCUCUUCCCCCAAAUUCAGACUCAUGUAACCCCUACUUUCAAGGACCCUUAAUAACCACCUACCAAAAAGAGGGCUCUUCAGCCAACACACACACACACACACACACACACCCCCCAUCCUCCUCAGGCUCCCCANCACACACACACACACACACACACACACACACCCCAUCCUCCUCAGGCUCCCCCUCCCCAGGAAUGGAACCCCAUCCACCCAGAUGUUCGAGCCUAAACCCUCCCUCACCCUCACUGUCCAUGGGCAACUCAUCAGGAAGCCCCACCUCCGGGUACCACCCUGAGUCCAUGAGUUCUCUCCAUCCCCAACACCUCCAGCUCCACCAACCCAUCGCUCACCCGGGCCCCUGCACGGCUUCCCCUCUGGGCCUCUGCACACAGCAGGGUGAGCCCUUCAAACAUAGGAGAGUUUUUGCCCCUGGCUCCUGACCGUGUCCUCAAGGUCCUGGAGCGUCUGUCUCCCCUCAGGCUUCUCCAUCGCUUCUCACCCCACGCCCUGUGUUCCCUCUGCCUCAGCAAACCCACCUCCCUUCUGACCAUCCAAAUUCUCAAACUCUUUCCGAAUCAGGGCCCUUAUCCGUAUUCUGCUGCCCUGUCAUCCUCUCCUCCCAGCUCUCUAAGUUACUGGCUCCUUCUCCCUCAGAGAAAGCUGAUUGCUCCAGUACCAUCUCCUUGGAGAAACUUCCCUGACCCCCCAUGUUCGCAAACAUGGCCUCUCCCAGCUCCUAGCUUUCGUGUUUAUUGAGUGCUCUCCAGCCAAGGUUGUUAUUGUUUUAUAUUGAUUAACUCUCUUCAUUCCUCUGGUGCUGUUAUUGCCAUUAUUAUACCUUUCUUGAAAAUGAGGAAACUAAACCCAAAGAGGUAAUAACAGUCAAAGCCAACCGGCUCCCGGAAGCUGUUUUAGGAUUUAACCUGGCUCAGCCCAGCGCCAGCCUGGCCUCUUAACCAUCAUCCACCUGCGUCUCUCCCGCGACCCACCUGUCUCCUUCUAGCACUUUUCACAACCUGGAUUCUGUCUCAUGGAGCAAUUUAUGUGCCCUUAGUCUCCGCAUGAGAAUACAAGCAACGUCUCGACAGGGGCCUUUUUCUCCACCACUUGGAUCCCCAGGGCACAAUAAGCACAGAUAACACAGCAAAUCAUUUCUGUUCUAAAUGAUUGAAUGACAUUCUGCAUGUUUGUCUAUUUUCCAGAGCAGAUUUAUUACGCCGGCCCUGUUAAUAAUCUCGGAUUUGAAAUUCCCACGGCUCACAGCUAAGAGGAGAUUUUUCCACUCACUGCUUUUGACUCAAAAUAUUAUGACUUGAUGAAACGGCGGAACUCCAGCAGCUCUGCCAUAAACCAUCCAUUCUCAAUAUGCCACUCCUGACAGCAUCCUGAGAAACGCCAUCAAAAGAAUCACAAACAUGUGCUCAUUUUAAAGUUCUGCUUUUCAACUUCAUCCUUUCCGUCUUCCCAAACCCUCGGACGGCUCUAGAAAACAAUCUCCUUCUCCA
rnacentral:lncRNA from 1 species